CGCCCUCCCUCCGCCGCCACUACACGACUACCGUACGGGACGGCGAGCGAGGUAGGGGUAAGUUUGCGACAAGGUACGGGGGAAACCCGUACGGACGCAGACAACGCCGCGGUGGGAGGAGUAGAAGUACUCGUACGUAACUCCUUUCGAUCGGGACGAUAAUGACGGUACCGGAAGAAGAAGCCCGGCUAACUUCGUGCCAGCAGCCGCGGUAAUAC
rnacentral:rRNA from 1 species